rnacentral:rRNA from 1 species
AUGAACGCUGGCGGCGUGCCUAAUACCUGCAAGUCGAACGAAACUUCUUUAUCACCGAGUGCUUGCACUCACCGAUAAAGAGUUGAGUGGCGAACGGGUGAGUAACACGUGGGCAACCUGCCCAAAAGAGGGGGAUAACACUUGGAAACAGGUGCUAAUACCGCAUAACCAUAGUUACCGCAUGGUAACUAUGUAAAAGGUGGCUAUACUACCGCUUUUGGAUGGGCCCGCGGCGCAUUAGCUAGUUGGUAGGGUAAAGGCUUACCAAGGCAAUGAUGCGUAGCCGAAUUGAGAGGUUGAUCGGCCACAUUGGGACUGAGACACGGCCCAAACUCCUACGGGAGGCAGCAGUAGGGAAUCUUCCACAAUGGGCGAAAGCCUGAUGGAGCAACGCCGCGUGGGUGAAGAAGGUCUUCGGAUCGUAAAACCCUGUUGUUAGAGAAGAAAGUGCGUGAGAGUAACUGUUCACGUUUCGACGGUAUCUAACCGGAAAGCCACGGCUAACUACGUG